rnacentral:tRNA from 1 species
GAGCAAUUAGUUUAAGUAAAAUCUUUGAUUUCGACUCAAAAGCCUGUGGUUUAAACCCACAAUUGCCCA